GGGAGCAGCUCGGGGGGGGUCUCUUCACCCCCAUCUCCUCCACCCGCGCCUCGUAAAUCCCGUUCAGGGCCAGGUUCCCCAGCGAGCACAUCAGCUGGGGACCCCAAAACCACCCAGAAUCACCCCAAAAUUACCCCAAAUCACCUGGGGACCCCAAAAUACCCCCAAAUCACCCCCAAAUCAGCUGGGGAACCCCAAAAACAUCAGCAAAACACCCCAAAAUCAGCUGGGAAACCCCGAAUUCCCCCCAAAAAUCCCCUCAAGAUCCCCCAAAUUCCCUCCAAAGCCCCUCCCAGUCCCUCCCAGUAUAAUCCAGUAACCCCCAGUUCUCUCCCAGUCCAUCCCAGUUUAUCCCAGUUUGAUCCCAGUUUAUCCUAGUCCAUCCCAGUAUAAUCCAGUAACCCCCAUUUCUCUCCCAGUCCAUCCCAGUCCACCCCAGUAUAACCCAGUCCAUCCCAGUUCCAUCCCAGUCCAUCCCAGUUUAUCCCAGUUUGAUCCCAGUCCCUCCCAGUUUGAUCCCAGUCCAUCCCAGUUUGAUCCCAGUCCAUCCCAGUUUGAUCCCAGUUUAUCCCGUCCAUCCCAGUCCACCCCAGUAUAACCCAGUCCAUCCCAGUCCCUCCCAAUCCCUCCCAGUCCCUCCCAGUUUGAUCCCAGUCCAUCCCAGUCCCUCCCAAGUCCAUCCCAGUUCCCUCCCAGUCCAUCCCAGUCCAUCCCAGUUUGAUCCCAGUUUAUCCCAGUGCUCCCCAGUUCCCUCCCAGUAUAACCCAGUCCAUCCCAGUUCCGUCUGUUUAUUCCCAGUUCCAUCCCAGUCCAUCCCAGUUUAUCCCAGUUUGAUCCCAGUCCAUCCCAGUCCAUCCCAGUAUAACCCAGUCUCUCCCAGUCCCUCCCAGUUUGAUCCCAGUCCAUCCCAGUUCCCCCCAGUCCCCGCCCACCUUCACCAGUUCGGGUUCCCACGAGUCGAGGGUGAGCGACCGAACCUUGGAGAAGUGAACGCCCAAAC
rnacentral:lncRNA from 1 species